AUGAGUUUGGACUGUGCCGAGU
rnacentral:miRNA from 1 species